CCUACGGGAGGCAGCAGUGAGGAAUAUUGGUCAAUGGACGAGAGUCUGAACCAGCCAAGUAGCGUGAAGGAUGACUGCCCUAUGGGUUGUAAACUUCUUUUAUAUGGGAAUAAAACAGGGUAUGCAUACCCUCUUGUAUGUACCAUAUGAAUAAGGAUCGGCUAACUCCGUGCCAGCAGCCGCGGUAAUACGGAGGAUCCGAGCGUUAUCCGGAUUUAUUGGGUUUAAAGGGUGGGUAGGUGGAUUGUUAAGUCAGUUGUGAAAGUUUGCGGCUCAACCGUAAAAUUGCAGUUGAAACUGGCAGUCGUGAGUACAGUAGAGGUAGGCGGAAUUCGUGGUGUAGCGGUGAAAUGCGUAGAGAUCACGAAGAACUCCGAUUGCGAAGGCAGCUCACUGGACUGAAACUGACACUGAUGCUCGAAAGUGUGGGUAUCAAACAGGAUUAGAUACCCCUGUAGUC
rnacentral:rRNA from 1 species